rnacentral:rRNA from 1 species
UGUGGCCUACGGGACGCAGCAGUGGGGAAUAUUGGGCAAUGGGCGCAAGCCUGACCCAGCAACGCCGCGUGAAGGAAGAAGGCUUUCGGGUUGUAAACUUCUUUUCUCAGGGACGAAGAAAGUGACGGUACCUGAGGAAUAAGCCACGGCUAACUACGUGCCAGCAGCCGCGGUAAUACGUAGGUGGCAAGCGUUAUCCGGAUUUAUUGGGUGUAAAGGGCGUGUAGGCGGGAGCGCAAGUCAGUUGUGAAAACUCAGGGCUCAACCCUGAGCCCGCCUUUGAAACUGUGUUUCUUGAGUGCGGG